CCCCCUAUGCCGCCCUAUGCCCCUCCCCCACAGCCUCACCCGCAACGUACCCCCGCACCUGCACCGGAAUCGAAGCCUGCGCAGCAGGAAAAUCCUUCCGAGCCUCCCCCAGUUCCCGGCUCCGGAGCUGGUUCGUACACACGCCGGCGUCGCCCCAGGCCGGUCCGCGCCGGGGUCAUCACACGGCCCCAGUCGGACGCAGAGGCCACAAGCAGCCCACAGCCCCGUCCCCGCCCCAGCCCCAGCCCCCCACAACCUUACCCCUCUGGUCUACAGAACCGAGGCGGACGCGGCUGGGCCUCGGCAGUGUCCACGCAGAACUACAUUUCCCAGAGUCCCACUCGCUUUAGAACUACAUUUCCCAGAGGGGCUUGCGGCGCGCCCCCCUGAGGGACAGGUGUGCUCUUUCCUGUUGCAAAACGCUUUGUGGCUGAGCUGUAAGGUACAGGGGGCGCUUCCUUCAUAAUCUGCACACAGUCCUUUUCAUUUUUGAUCAUGCAGACUGCGGAGCUAGCUGAGACGCGAAGUUAUCCUGGCCCAGAAACGUCCUGUGCGAAACAGGAUCUUGACCAGCUGAGCCCCCACGGUCGAUCCCGGCGUAGAAGCAGCCAGCCCGGCCUCGGUCCCUCCUGCAUCAGAGCUACAGAGCGCCUGCACGAAACAGCCCGGGAUGGCCACCAGGUUCCCUACAGCUUCGUGUUCGAGGAGCUGUGGUCUGGCGCACAGAGUCGUUGGGCAGGAUGGCGGGGAAGGAGUUUAAGGAUUCAAAGCGGGAAGGAGCAGUGUUGUGAGAGGAGAGAGCCAGUGGACCCUCUGGACCGUGCAGGUGGUUGGAGGACUGAACCAGAGGGAGACUUAACAGCGAAUGCUGAAAUCCUGAGCUGUUGGUACACCGGUGAUGUGUCCGGUCUUGAGAACACUGUUGGAAGAAGUAUCCAGGGACAGAGUGUAUGUAGCUUUUUUUAUUUUUCCCUUUCCUUCUUUUAAGAUUUAUUUAUCUUUGCCUGUGGCUGGGGGUGGUGGCGGCGGGGGUAGGUCUUCCUUGCUGCUCCGGCUUUCUCUAGUUGCAGUGAGUGGG
rnacentral:lncRNA from 1 species